CUCCGUCGCCAAUGCUGUUACUGGAGAAUCUGUAAGAGAUGAGACAAGGAUGAGCUGGGUUUCUGGAGCAGCCUGGCAGGGGGGGCCUGGGAUCAGGGUCAGGGAAGCGCUCCAGGGCUGUGCUUUCUCUGUUGUGUUAAGGGUGCCCAGUGCAGAGCUCGUUCGGCUUGAGUCUGUGGCUGGUCGCCUCUGCAAGUGACUCCCUAUGGCCUGUAAGACAUCGAGGUAGCAAAGUACUUGACUCCCUAGUGGGCGGCAGGGCCAACUCUUUUGUGAUACUUUAUGUGAAGGUAGCCAGGAAGUGUUGGGAAGGCAGUAAAUUUAAGUCUGAGACAGUCCCAAUCCUAGGAAUCUGGAGUCCAAAGCCAGCUAUCUUGCACCCAUACCACCAUCCAUCCAUCCAUCCAUCUGUCCAUCCACCCAUCCAUCCAUCCAUCCGUCGUGCUCACAAAUAUUUAUGAUGGGCUGGGCAUUGUGCCAGUCACUGAGGAUACAAAUUUGGCCUUUCUGCAUUUCUCACAUGAGUUCCUUCAGAUUCCUGUUCUGUUUCAGGGUAUCUGCCAUCUGCUGGGCUCCUACAGGCCCGAUGGUAUUCUUCUGUAGGCUGUGGGAGAGGAGAAGCGUCUUCAGCAAAGCUGGCCACAGCCAUUCCCACUCCAGGGACAGUCUGGUUCAAGGCUUGUGAUCCAAACCUCUCGGUUUCACCAGCAUCAUGAGGCCCUGAACACAGGUGGAGAUGAGGUGAGCCCUGGAGCGGAAGUGCCCAGCCCAGGAAAGCCUCUGAGCCAGAUAAAGAUGAUUUCAGAACCCGGAGGGAGGCUUACAUGAAGAUGAAGAAUUCCUCUCUGGAUCCUAUGCUCCAAACUCAUCUCCCUAGUUCUAGCUACCCCAGAUCAUCACAUCAGCUCAGCUCGAAACCCAGAUGAGGUACCUGAGCCUCUGGAACUUUCUGGAAUGGGCAGAAACAAGCAGCGUGUAUCCUGAGCCACAUGCUUCAAAGGCACCUCUCCUUGAAAGCACCCCUGGCCGGUUGAGCAGAGAAGAGGAGGGGAAAGGAGCCCCAGACCCUGUGCAACAGCACCCAGCAGGCACCUGCGACCCAGCUGUACCCCACAGUGUCUUCCCAGAGGCAGGCCGGCUGCACCCUGGAACAGCGGAGUGUGGCAGUUCCCUCAGGCCCCGGAGGUGGGCCUCAGCAUGUGGGCGGCACUGAGAGCAAAGGGGUGAAGGGGAAGGGCAUGCCCAAAGUGGACGACAGGAGAAGCACGACAAUAGAGGAAAAGUACAGGACAUCCUCCAGUGACAGGGAGCAAGCCAUGGAGACAAGCAGUGCCUUCCGAGGCCCCAGCAGCUUGCCAGGUUCCAGGUGAGACGCAUGGGGCUUGCCCUUGAGAAGCCUGCUGCGGCUGCAGGCCGUCAAAGCACACUGUAGCCACGACUGUGAGGUGCACUGAAGGCGUCUGAAACCAGGCCGCCCACAGGAUGUUGGAAGCCGCAGGGGCCUGGUGGUAACCUUCUGCUAGUCUGGGCUGCCUUCCAAGGACCAAGGGCUCCCAGUAUACCCAGAGCUGCUCGUCUGAGUCCAGGGUCUCCACAAGGAGCCAGUGAAGCCAGGAGGCUGUCCCUUGAGGCCAUCUGAGCACCAACCCUCACAUCCGGCACAGGGACAGGCCAGUCUGGCUGAAGACUAGAAGCACCAGCUGAUUUCUGACCUUUCUCCAUGGGGCCCAGCACACAGGACAGAGAGGGCUUCACAAGUUCAUCCUGUUAAAAUGCAAAUUCUGACUCAGUAGGUCUGGGCAGGCCCAAGCCGUAUCUGUAACAAUCCCCAGGGUCACGCUGCUGGGCCCCAGGCCUCAUCAAGGGCUGGAGCUCAGUGCUUGGUAGGGGCUGUCUUAAUGUGGGGCUACAGAUUCACAAAUAUGGAUGAAUGGAUGAACACACAUCUCUUAUCUAUGAACCAAAGGGACAUGAGGAGCCAGCAGGCCUGGGUCACCCUUUGCAAUGAAGGACAGGCACAAAGGCCUUCUGCAGACACGGCUAUGGGGGCAGCGAGGGAGCUGUGGGUGA